UCCGGUUUGUCACCGGCAGUCUCAUUAGAGUGCCCAACUGAAUGUAGCAACUAAUGACAAGGGUUGCGCUCGUUGCGGGACUUAACCCAACAUCUCACGACACGAGCUGACGACAGCCAUGCAGCACCUGUGUUACGGCUCCCUUUCGGGCACACCCACCUCUCAGCGGGCUUCCGUACAUGUCAAGGGUAGGUAAGGUUUUUCGCGUUGCAUCGAAUUAAUCCACAUCAUCCACCGCUUGUGCGGGUCCCCGUCAAUUCCUUUGAGUUUUAGCCUUGCGGCCGUACUCCCCAGGCGGGGCGCUUAAUGCGUUAGCUACGGCGCAGGAGGGGUCGAUACCUCCCACGCCUAAUGUGCAUCGUUUACAGCUAAGACUAC
rnacentral:misc_RNA from 1 species